rnacentral:rRNA from 1 species
AAACGACUCUCGGCAACGGAUAUCUCGGCUCUCGCAUCGAUGAAGAACGUAGCGAAAUGCGAUACUUGGUGUGAAUUGCAGAAUCCCGUGAACCAUCGAGUCUUUGAACGCAAGUUGCGCCCCAAGCCGUUAGGCCGAGGGCACGCCUGCCUGGGUGUCACGCA